AGAGAAGAAGCUUAUAGUUUUACACAGAUGUUUAUUUAUUUAUUUUUCUGUGGACAACUUUUCUAUCAGAAAUCUUGAUCCGAUUUUUAAGUGUAGCAUUUUUUCUAAAUGGAAGGAAAUCUAAUUGGGGGGAUACUUUAUGGAAAUAAUUUUUCGAUUUUCCCAGGAAUUUUCCCAACAACGGGAAAAUACAUGCAAAACCGCAUAGGACAAAUGUGAAAAUAGGUACAAUAUUAAACAAAUAAUAUUAAAGAGAUUGUAUAAUGCCGAUAUUAUUAUUUUACCAUACUAUGGUACAUAUAUUGUUGACAAAACAACAUUUAUAUUUUUGGAAUUUUUUUUUAAAAAUGAUAGUAAUAAAAACAAAUAAUAUCAAAUCAGUGUUUCCUAACAUGGGACGCUAGUACUUAUUGCUGCAGAGGCACAAGCUGAAUAUAUAAACAAUAGAAC